rnacentral:tRNA from 1 species
AUUAAGGUGGCAGAGCCGGUAAUUGCAUAAAACUUAAGCCUUUAUAAUCAGAGGUUCAAAUCCUCUCCUUAAUA